rnacentral:rRNA from 1 species
AACGAACGCUGGCGGCAUGCCUAACACAUGCAAGUCGAACGAGACCUUCGGGUCUAGUGGCGCACGGGUGCGUAACGCGUGGGAACCUGCCCUUAGGUUCGGAAUAACUCCCCGAAAGGGGUGCUAAUACCGGAUAAUGUCCUCGGACCAAAGAUUUAUCGCCUUUGGAUGGGCCCGCGUUGGAUUAGCUAGUUGGUAGGGUAAAAGCCUACCAAGGCGACGAUCCAUAGCUGGUCUGAGAGGAUGAUCAGCCACACUGGGACUGAGACACGGCCCAGACUCCUACGGGAGGCAGCAGUGGGGAAUAUUGGACAAUGGGCGAAAGCCUGAUCCAGCAAUGCCGCGUGAGUGAUGAAGGCCUUAGGGUUGUAAAGCUCUUUUACCCGGGAUGAUAAUGACAGUACCGUGAGAAUAAGCUCCGGCUAACUCCGUG